AUUUUAAAAUUUUUUAAAAAAGGGCAUUAAAAGAAAACUUAGGUAAAAAAAUUAGGACGUUUCGCUACGAAAAAUGCAAUUAGGCAUUUGCCUGUGAUUUGUAAUAUUUCCUAAAAAUUAUAAUUUUAAUAGUAAACUUAUAUUUUUAAUAAAUGAUAUAAUAAAAAAAUGUGAAGUGAAUCAUCUCAGUAACAUUAAUAACAUCAAAAGAGAAUUCGAAAAUAAUGGUGAAUGAAAUCGAAAAAAGCUUAUAAUUUUUAAUAUUUAUAUAAUCAAAAUAAUAUAAAAUCAUAGAAGGUUAAAAAUCCUGUAAUAUUAGUUUUAUAAAUUUAAGAAUUAAAUAUUUAAAGUAAUGUGAUUAAUAUUGCAUGAAUAUGUUAAGGAGAACCACCUUCUAAGCUUAUAGUUUUUUUAACCGAUAGUACACGAAUAUCGUGAGAGAAAAGUAUAUAUUCGUAUAAGAAUAAAAAAAAAUUUAAUGUCUAUAAAAUAUUCGAAGUAUAAUAACAACGAAAUGCCUUUUGCAUAAUGAGUCAGUAAGUUAAUAUAUAUUGCAAGCUUAAUUAAAUAUAAAAAAGCAAAAUUUUACUAUAAGUUAUAUGUAUUAAACCUGAAACCAAGUGAUCUAGUUAUAAACAGGUUAAUGAUUCUUUAAUAAAGUUUUUGAAGACCGCACUUUAAUAUGUAGCAAAAUAUAAAGAAGAUUUAUAAUUAGGAGCGAAAGACUAAUCAAACUUGGUUAUAGCCGGUUUUUCACGAAAUAUAUUUUAGUAUAACGUUAAAUAUCAAAAUAAAAUUGUAAUUAAAGUACAAAUAUAAAUAAAGGGAUAUAAAAAUUUACUGCAUUUAUUUUAACUCUAAAAUAUAAUUUAAAUAUAAAUUUAACAGUCAGUCUAAUAGCGAUAAGGUUUUUAGACAAAAGGAAAACAAUCCAGAUCGUUUAGUAAGAUUUCAAAAUUAAAACUUAGUGAAAAAAAUUUUUAUAAAUUUAAAUAGUUAAAAAAGAUAGGCUUAGAAGCAGCCAUUCCUUAGAGAAAGCGUUUUAGCUCACUAUUAAAUUAUUUAUAAAAAAUUAAAAAUGUAAAGAAACUUUAAGUUUUAUAUCGACCUAACGAAUUAAUAUAAUUAAUGGUAGUGAAACAUUCUGUAAUUAAAUUUUUUAAUAUUGUAAAAUACAAAAUUUUAUAAAAUCAGAAGUGCUAAUGCUGACAUGAGUAACAAAAAUUGUGUUAAAUAAUCAUAAUGGUUUUGCUGUUUAAGGGUUUCAAUGAAUGUUUAACAACAUUGAGUGAGUCGGUCUUUAAGAGAAUAGUGAAAACUGAACUCAAUUAAGAUAAUUAAUAUUAUAUAAAACUUUUUAUAUGUAAUUAAAAAAAUUAUGUUUCAAAAUUUUAAAAAUAAUUAAAUUGUUUCUAUAAGGUUAAAUUGUUAUUAAAUAAAUUUUUGCAAGAAAAACUUAUAAAAUUUUAAACCGUACUUAAACCAACACAGGUAAACUAAUCGAAUAGAUUUAAAACUUAUGAGAAAAUAAUGUUAAAGGAACUCGGCAAAUUAAUUCUGUACGUUCGCAAAAAAGAAAUCGUAUUUUUAAAUACGAAAAAAAAAAAAAAGCAACGACUGGUUAUCAAAACCAUAGGACUCUGCAAAUUUUUUUUAAAAAGUAUAGCGUCUGAUGCCUGCCCAGUGUUUAAAAAAUAAAAUUUUUUAUUAUUGUUUUAUGAUAAAAAAAUAAAAUUUAAGUUAACGGCGGUUCUAACUAUAAGAAUCCUUAGGUAGCGAAAUUCCUUGACGGGUAAAUUCCGUCCUGCAUGAAUGGCAUAACGAUUGCUUUACUGUCUCUAACAUUAUCUCAGUGAAAUUACAAUACCUAUGAAAAUGUAGGUUAUUUACAGUAAGACGGAAAGACCCUAGAUCCUUUACUUUAUUUUUAAAUUGUAAAAAUCAAAAAAUUGUAUAGAAUAAAUGGGAAUUGAUAAAAUCAAUGUUAGUAUGAAAUACCAUUCAAUUUUUUAAGAUAUUUUACUAUUAAUUUAAUUUUAAAUAAAUUAAAGAAAGUUUAAAAAAGAAAGUUUGCUUGGGACGAGAACCUCCUAAAGUGUAACGGAGGUGUGCAUAUGGUAAAUACAAAAUUAUUUAUUAAAAAAAUAUAAUAAUUAAAAACAUAAAAUAGUUAAAAUUUGCUUGACAAAUAAAUUUAUAAAUUAAUUUGAGACGUAAGUCAGUUAUAUUGACCCGAUAAUAUAAUGUGGAAUAGUUAUCGUUUAACAAAUAAAAGGAACUCUAGGGAUAACAGAUUCAUCAUGAUUGCAAGUUCAUAUUAAAAUCAUGGUUUGAUACCUCGAUGUCGACUCAUCUUAUCCUGAAAUUGUAGUAAAUUUCAAGGGUCUAGUUGUUCGCUAGUUAAAAAGGUACGUGAGUUGGGUUCAGAACGUCGUGAGACAGUUCGGUCCCUAUCUGCUGUAAAUUUAAAAAAUAUAAAGAUUAUUUCUAGUACGAGAGGAUUGAAAUAUGCUAACCUAUAGUGUAUUAGUUGUUAGACCACUAGCAUUGCUAAGUAGCCACGUUAGUUUAAAAUUAAAUGCUGAACAAAUCAAUUGCAUUAAAUUAUCUUUAAUUUAUUUUUUUAGAAUAUUCUAAAAGAUUAUUAGAUAGAUCGAUUUAUAAAAAUAUUUUGUAAAAAAUAUUUUAUAAAUAACGAAAUAUUCAUUAAAAUUUUUUGAAUAUAA
rnacentral:rRNA from 1 species